GUGGUUCACCUGCAGUAGAAAUUCAUGGUUCAUCAGAUAUGGCCUAGUUGUUAGGGGUUCGAAAUGUGUUCAGACAGGGGAUAUUAAAUGUUCAGUGCGUUCUGUUUUAAGCAUUCUUUUGGCUACUGGUUAGCACACUGAAAUUUGCCAUUUUUUCGUACCAACCUGAGGGACAAUUUUUCACAACACACACGAUUGUUUGAAAGUCGAUUUUUCACUAGACGUCAUUUGGAUGUACAGUACAGUGCAGUUUCUAUCUUUAGCCCCCAGUCCUACAGUGUGCCAAAAUAGACAGUUGAAAAAGUUUGCUCAUUGUGCUAAUCUGCACAAUGCCAGAUUCAUGUAAGCAAUCUUGAAAUGACCAAUCAAUAGACUAAAAAAGUCUCUUAUUGCAACGAAAUAUUUCGUUGCAAUAGAUUCUACCGGACUACACAGUAUUAAAAGACUCUUCUCUUAAGGAAAUUUGUAGAUGUGGACUUUCUUUAGAUAUGACUCUAAUCGUAAAUAUUUUCCUGCUUCUUGGAACAAGGAACAUAGAAACAUAGGAUGUCUUGAUGCCAAACAAGUGUCAUUUGAAAGAUUCAGGAAAAACCUAAAGCUGGAGGAUCAUACAUUUUGUUUCUUGUUGUUUAAGUCAGAGAACAAUGCGUGGCAUCUGAUUUCUAGCCCUGGAAACCCCAGGUGCCCUUCUGCUUCAACAAGGCUAUAAAGCAAUUAUAAUUUCAGGAGGUAAAGAUUGAAUCCAAAAACAAAUCACAGACAAUUUUUAGUUGGCUUUUCUGCUUAAUGUAUUGUUACCCUUAACUUUUGGAAACAUGGAAAUGUAUACGUAUGUUCAGGGUCAAGUUAAUGAAAAGUUGAGCCAAAAAUGAAUUUUACAUUACCUUUGAACAGUUCCCAAUUUAGUUUACGCGAUGGAUGCCCCACUAUACGACCCAGCAAUUUUUACUUGUGGUCUCCCAAAACCGGUAAUUUGUUACGCAUGCAAUUACUCAACAAGGAAUUAGGUGGAACGGUGGAGAGAAAAGAUGUUCGCGAAGAUGGGCAAUUCGAGAUUCAAGUAGAAACGGGAGUGCCAAUUGUUUAAAGGCUUAGAGACUCGGGAAAUGGUACCACUCCUUUGUCGUUGUUUCGGACUGUUCUGAUGGACAGUGAAGACUCAUCAUAACGAUUCCGAAAUGGUUCGUCAAUUGCGCCUACACGGCCAUGUAGUAGAACCUCUUAAAGACUUCCAUAAAGAUGAAGUGAGAGCUUUAGGUCGCGAGCUGGGUCUGCCCGCAGAAUUACUGGAACGUCAUCCGUUUCCUGGUCUCGGUUUGUCAAUUCGAAUUAUUUGAGCCGAAGAACCGUUCAUGGAUGCUGAUUUCGGUGAAACGCAAGUGCUGAUUCGUCUGAUGGUCGAUUAUGCCUACAUGGCAGCCAAGGAACAUGCCUUGCUCAAUCGGAUUGAAAUCGCGACGUCGGAACAAGAGCAACGUCGGAAGAAAAGCGUUUUCUUCUGGAAGAACUGUCCAGUCGAAGAAAGCUACUUCCACAUCACCGUUGGUCGCUGCUUACGCGAAGAUAAAAUAUUAACAUUUUUACAAAUUAAAGUGCAUAUCUGGGCUCCCUUCUUUUCUGUGGCCCCGUUUCCCCUUGACUUAUGAUAAGCCCGUAGGGGGUCAUGCCCCUACUGUGAUCAGCAGCAAAGGUUGUGAGUGCGC
rnacentral:lncRNA from 1 species